AGUUAACGCUGGCGGUAGGCCUAACACAUGCAAGUCGAACGGCAGCACAGUAAGAGCUUGCUCUUACGGGUGGCGAGUGGCGGACGGGUGAGGAAUACAUCGGAAUCUACUUUUUCGUGGGGGAUAACGUAGGGAAACUUACGCUAAUACCGCAUACGACCUACGGGUGAAAGCAGGGGAUCUUCGGACCUUGCGCGAUUGAAUGAGCCGAUGUCGGAUUAGCUAGUUGGCGGGGUAAAGGCCCACCAAGGCGACGAUCCGUAGCUGGUCUGAGAGGAUGAUCAGCCACACUGGAACUGAGACACGGUCCAGACUCCUACGGGAGGCAGCAGUGGGGAAUAUUGGAUAAUGGGCGCAAGCCUGAUCCAGCCAUACCGCGUGGGUGAAGAAGGCCUUCGGGUUGUAAAGCCCUUUUGUUGGGAAAGAAAAGCAGCAGGUUAAUACCCCGCUGUUCUGACGGUACCCAAAGAAUAAGCACCGGCUAACUUCGUG
rnacentral:rRNA from 1 species